GACGAACGCUGGCGGCGUGCUUAACACAUGCAAGUCGAACGGAAAGGCCCUGCUUGCAGGGUACUCGAGUGGCGAACGGGUGAGUAACACGUGGGUGAUCUGCCCUGCACUUCGGGAUAAGCCUGGGAAACUGGGUCUAAUACCGGAUAGGAGCCAUUUUUAGUGUGAUGGUUGGAAAGUUUUUUCGGUGUAGGAUGAGCUGGCGGCCUAUCAGCUUGUUGGUGGGGUAAUGGCCUACCAAGGCGGCGACGGGUAGCCGGCCUGAGAGGGUGGACGGCCACAUUGGGACUGAGAUACGGCCCAGACUCCUACGGGAGGCAGCAGGGGGGAAUAUUGCACAAUGGGCGCAAGCCUGAUGCAGCGACGCCGCGUGGGGGAUGACGGCCUUCGGGUUGUAAACUCCUUUCGCUAGGGACGAAGCUUUUUGUGACGGUACCUAGAUAAGAAGCACCGGCUAACUACGUG
rnacentral:rRNA from 1 species